rnacentral:rRNA from 1 species
CUUUUUCGAAAGGUAUACUUAAAGAGGGGCUUGCGCCACAUUAGUUAGUUGGUAGGGUAAAAGCCUACCAAGACGAUGAUGUGUAGCUGAACUGAGAGGUUGAACAGCCACAUUGGGACUGAGACACGGCCCAAACUCCUACGGGAGGCAGCAGUAGGGAAUUUUCGGCAAUGGAGGAAACUCUGACCGAGCAACGCCGCGUGAACGAUGAAGUACUUCGGUAUGUAAAGUUCUUUUAUCGAAGAAGAAAACGUAGUGGAAAAACUACCUUGACGCUAUUCGAUGAAUAAGCCCCGGCUAACUAUGUGCCAGCAGCCGCGGUAAUACAUAGGGGGCGAGCGUUAUCCGGAAUUAUUGGGCGUAAAGGGUGCGUAGGCGGUUUGAUAAGUCUCUAGUUUAAAUUCAGUGCUUAACGCUGUCCUGCUAGAGAAACUGUCUGACUUGAGUAAGAUAGAGGCAAGCGGAAUUCCAUGUGUAGCGGUAAAAUGUGUAAAUAUAUGGAGGAACACCAGAGGCGUAGGCGGCUUGCUGGGUCUUUACUGACGCUGAGGCACGAAAGCGUGGGGAGCAAACAGGAUUAGAUACCCUGGUAGUCCACGCCGUAAACGAUGAGUACUAAGUGUCGGGGUUCAUCCCUCGGUACUGAAGUCAACACAUUAAGUACUCCGCCUGAGUAGUACGUACGCAAGUAUGAAACUUAAAGGAAUUGACGGGAUCCCGCACAAGCGGUGGAUCAUGUUGUUUAAUUCGAAGAUACACGAAAAACCUUACCAGGUCUUGACAUACUCUGCAAAGCUAUAGAAAUAUAGUGGAGGUUAUCAGGGAUACAGGUGGUGCAUGGUUGUCGUCAGCUCGUGUCGUGAGAUGUUAGGUUAAGUCCUAAAACGAGCGCAACCCUUGUCGUUAGUUGCCAGCAUGUAAUGAUGGGGACUUUAACGAGACUGCCAGUGAAAAAAUUGGAGGAAGGUGAGGAUUACGUCAAAUCAUCAUGCCC